rfam:Phalacrocorax carbo contig19970, whole genome shotgun sequence.
ACCAAGGCUUUAUCUGGGGAUGAGCAAAGCCACCCAUUUUAAAAUACAGUGGAAAU